rnacentral:rRNA from 1 species
CUGCAUCUGGGACUCUCGAUUCUUCAGAUUCUGGAAGAGCCGAUAACUGGGUGUCCGAGCGUGCCUUAAAUACAUGCAAGUCGAACGAAGCUUUCUCUCACCCGAAAUGCUUGCAUUUCACCGAAAGAAGCUUAGUGGCGAACGGUGUGAGUAGACACGUAGGCAACCUGCCCAAAAGAGGGGGAUAACACUUGGAAAACAGGUGCUAAUACCCGCAUAACCCAUGAACACCGCAUGAUGUUUCAUGUGAAAGACGGCUUUUGCUGUCACUUUUGGAUGGAGCCUGCGGCGUAUUAACUUGUUUGGUGGGGUAACGGCCCUACCAAAGGUGAUGAUACGUAGCCGAACUGAGAGGUUGAUCGGCCACAUUGGGACUGAGACACGGCCCAAACUCCUACGGGAGGCAGCAGUAGGGAAUCUUCCACAAAUGGACGAAAGUCUGAUGGAGCAACGCCGCGUGAAUGAAGAAGGCCUUCGGGUCGUAAAAUUCUGUUGUCAGAGAAGAACGUGCGUGAGAGUAACUGUUCACGUAUUGACGGUAUCUGACCAGAAAGCCACGGCUAACUACGUGCCAGCAGCCGCGGUAAUACGUAGGUGGCGAGCGUUGUCCGGAUUUAUUGGGCGUAAAGGGAACGCAGGCGGUCUUUUAAGUCUGAUGUGAAAGCCUUCGGCUUAACCGAAGUAGUGCAUUGGAAACUGGAAGACUUGAGUGCAGAAGAGGAGAGUGGAACUCCAUGUGUAGCGGUGAAAUGCGUAGAUAUAUGGAAGAACACCAGUUGGCGAAAGCGGCUCUCUGGUCUGUAACUGACGCUGAGGUUCGAAAGCGUGGGGUAGCAAACAGGAUUAGAUA